ACCAGAGUAGAGGAGGCGCUGGUGGAGCACAAGGUUGUUGUAGAGAGCAGUUCACAAAUUCCACCAGAUGGAGCAGUAGAGGAACGGUAGACGGUAGACUCAAACCUCCGAGUAGACUGUUGUGCUUAUACUUCACGUCGUAUGCAUAAAAUCAUAAAAUGAAACCGCCUCUGAAAGGAUGGAGAAGAGAUCCAGAAGCUUACCAGACGCGGCAUAGAUCAAGAAUCAGUACAACCCGGGGGUAUGAAGAUAUGGUCAGACCCCUUUGGAAGAAAAUGAGCAACAGCACAGUGCUCUGUACAUAGUAGAACAGCUUCGAUGACCAUGUAAUCAAAAGGGGCACAUUAAAGUAAAACAAUAUAUUG